rfam:Triticum aestivum genome assembly, contig: Triticum_aestivum_CS42_TGACv1_scaffold_640850_T_3AS-0.193704_5AL-0.125668
AUCUUACUCCCUUCGUUCCGAAUUACUUGUUUUGGAUUUGUCUAGAUACAUCCGUAUCUAGACUCAUUUUAGUGCUACAUACAUUCGUAUUUAGACAAAACUAAGACAAGUAAUUCAGAAUGGAGGAAGUACAUA